rnacentral:rRNA from 1 species
UGGGAAUUUUGGACAAUGGGGGCAACCCUGAUCCAGCAAUGCCGCGUGAGUGAAGAAGGCCUUCGGGUUGUAAAGCUCUUUUGUCCGGGAAGAAAUCCCAUCCCUGAAUACGGGGUGGGGAUGACGGUACUGGAAGAAUAAGCACCGGCUAACUACGUGCCAGCAGCCGCGGUAAUACGUAGGGUGCAAGCGUUAAUCGGAAUUACUGGGCGUAAAGCGUGCGCAGGCGGUUGUGCAAGACCGAUGUGAAGUCCCCGGGCUUAACCUGGGAACUGCAUUGGUGACUGCACGGCUAGAGUGUGUCAGAGGGGGGUAGAAUUCCACGUNUAGCAGUGAAAUGCGUAGAGAUGUGGAGGAAUACCGAUGGCGAAGGCAGCCCCCUGGGAUAACACUGACGCUCAUGCACGAAAGCGUGGGGAGCAAACAGGAUUAGAUAGCCCUGGUAGUCCACGCCCUAAACGGUGUCAACUAGUUGUCGGGGAUUAAUUUCCUUGGUAACGCAGCUAACGCGUGAAGUUGACCGCCUGGGGAGUACGGUCGCAAGAUUAAAAAGCUCAAAA